rnacentral:rRNA from 1 species
CAAUAGCGUAUAUUUAAGUUGUUGCAGUUAAAAAGCUCGUAGUUGGAUUUCGGAUGGGACUUGCCGGUCCGUCGUUUCGAUGUGCACUGGCCAGUCCUAUCUUGUUGUCGGGGACUAGCUCCUGGGCUUCACUGUCCGGGACUAGGAGCUGACGAGGUUACUUUGAGUAAAUUAGAGUGUUCAAAGCAAGCCUACGCUCUGAAUACAUUAGCAUGGAAUAACACGAUAGGACUCUGGCUUAUCUUGUUGGUCUGUGAGACCAGAGUAAUGAUUAAGAGGGACAGUCGGGGGCAUUCGUAUUUCAUUGUCAGAGGUGAAAUUCUUGGAUUUAUGAAAGACGAACUUCUGCGAAAGCAUUUGUCUAGGAUGUUUUCAUUAA